rnacentral:rRNA from 1 species
AUUGAACGCUGGCGGAAUGCUUUACUCAUGCAAGUCGAACGGCAGCACGGGGGCAACCCUGGUGGCGAGUGGCGAACGGGUGAGUAAUACAUCGGAACGUGCCCAGCCGUGGGGGAUAAAGUAGUGAAAGUUACGCUAAUAACGCAUACGAUCUACGGAUGAAAGCGAGGGACCGUAAUGCCAGGCGCGACUGGAGCGGCCGAUGUCGGAUUAGGUAGUUGGUGAGGUAAGGGCUCACCAAGCCGACGAUCUGUAGCUGGUCUGAGAGGACGACCAGCCACACUGGGACUGAGACACGGCCCAGACUCCCACGGGAGGCAGCAGUGGGGAAUUUUGGACAAUGGGCGCAAGCCUGAUCCAGCCAUUCCGCGUGCAGGACGAAGGCCUUCGGGUUGUAAACUGCUUUUGUACGGAACGAAAAGGCUCUGGUUAAUACCUGGGGCUCAUGACGGUACCGUAAGAAUAAGCACCGGCUAACUACGUGCCAGCCGCCGCAGUAA